GCCUGGAUAGCUCAGUCGGUAAAGCGUCAGGCUUUUAAUCUGAGGGUCCAGGGUUCAAGUCCCUGUUCAGGCG
rfam:Gorilla gorilla gorilla genomic chromosome, chr6, whole genome shotgun sequence